CUUGAUCGCACCGAGCCACAAGGGCUGGUCGGCGGGCCGGCCCUGGCCGUACGUGGCCAGCAGCGCCUGCGCCUC
rfam:Streptomyces sp. NBRC 110027 DNA, contig: TPA059803.